rnacentral:rRNA from 1 species
GAGAACGCGGGGAGAGCGGAGCAAUGGGUGCUGAGAUGAAUUCUAGCGGCGGACGGGUGAGUAACGCGUGAACAAUCUGUCCCGGUCAGGGGGAUAACACUUGGAAACAGGUGCUAAUACCGCAUGAGACCACAGCAUCGCAUGGUGCGGGGGUCAAAGGAGCAAUCCGGACUGGGAGGAGUUCGCGUCUGAUUAGCUAGUUGGUGAGGUAACGGCUCACCAAGGCGACGAUCAGUAGCCGACCUGAGAGGGUGAUCGGCCACACUGGGACUGAGACACGGCCCAGACUCCUACGGGAGGCAGCAGUGGGGAAUAUUGGGCAAUGGGGGAAACCCUGACCCAGCAACGCCGCGUGAGGGAAGAAGGUUUUCGGAUCGUAAACCUCUGUCCUCAGGGAAGAAACAAAUGACGGUACCUGAGGAGGAAGCCCCGGCUAACUACGUGCCAGCCGCCGCAGUAAGAC